GAUGAACGCUGGCGGCGUGCCUAACACAUGCAAGUCGAGCGAUUUACUUCGGUAAAGAGCGGCGGACGGGUGAGUAACGCGUGGGUAACCUGCCCUGUACACACGGAUAACAUACCGAAAGGUAUGCUAAUACGAGAUAAUAUACUUUUAUCUCAUGAUAGAAGUAUCAAAGCUCUGGCGGUACAGGAUGGACCCGCGUCUGAUUAGCUAGUUGGUAAGGUAACGGCUUACCAAGGCGACGAUCAGUAGCCGACCUGAGAGGGUGAUCGGCCACAUUGGAACUGAGACACGGUCCAAACUCCUACGGGAGGCAGCAGUGGGGAAUAUUGCACAAUGGGCGAAAGCCUGAUGCAGCAACGCCGCGUGAGCGAUGAAGGCCUUCGGGUCGUAAAGCUCUGUCCUCAAGGAAGAUAAUGACGGUACUUGAGGAGGAAGCCCCGGCUAACUACGUGCCAGCCGCCGCUGUAA
rnacentral:rRNA from 1 species